rnacentral:rRNA from 1 species
CUGGAGGUAUCAGAAGUGCGAAUGCUGACAUAAGUAACGAUAAAGCGGGUGAAAAGCCCGCUCGCCGGAAGACCAAGGGUUCCUGUCCAACGUUAAUCGGGGCAGGGUGAGUCGACCCCUAAGGCGAGGCCGAAAGGCGUAGUCGAUGGGAAACGGGUUAAUAUUCCCGUACUUGGUGUUACUGCGAAGGGGGGACGGAGAAGGCUAUGUUGGCCGGGCGACGGUUGUCCCGGUUUAAGCGUGUAGGUGUGUGUUCCAGGUAAAUCCGGUUCACUUUAACACUGAGGCGUGACGACGAGGCACUACGGUGCUGAAGCAACAAAUGCCCUGCUUCCAGGAAAAGCCUCUAAGCAUCAGGUAACAUCAAAUCGUACCCCAAACCGACACAGGUGGUCAGGUAGAGAAUACCAAGGCGCUUGAGAGAAC